GCCUCGGUAGCUCAGUGGUAGAGCGCUUGCUUGGUAAGCAAGAGGUCACGGGUUCGAUCCCCGUCCGAGGCU
rnacentral:tRNA from 1 species